rnacentral:rRNA from 1 species
CUGGCAACUUGGAGAAGUGGCAAGUCUUCCAGUAUGGGGAGCAAAACAGCUAUGGGUCAAGUCCGAUAUCUUUAGGAGAAGUCUUAUUGUGAGGGCGAGUUAUAUAACACCAUAGGACUGGCGUCCCAUAUGAAAAGAUUAUAUUAGAAUUGAAUGAAGCUUUGUUUAUAUAUUGAUAAUGACAGUAUAUAUAUCGUGUCUUGACUAAUUGCGUGCCAGCAGUCGCGGUAAUACGUAAGAGACUAGUGUUAUUCAUCUUAAUUAGGUUUAAAGGGUACCCAGACGGUCAAUAUAGCUUAUAAAAUGUUAGUACUUGACUAGAGUUUUAUGUAAGAGGGCAGUACUUGAGGAGGAGAGAUGAAAUUUCGUGAUACCAAAGGGACUCUGUAAAGGCGAAGGCAGCCCUCUAUGUAAAAACUGACGUUGAAGGACGAAGGCACAGAGAACAAACAGGAUUAGAUACCCAAGUAGUCUUUGCAGUAAAUGAUGAAUGCCAUAGGUUAGAUUGAUCAAUUAUAGUCUAGGGUUAGUCUAGCAAACUAAUGCCCUAUGAUAUAAUUCAAAAUAUCUGGUCUAUAAAUGAAAGUGUAAGCAUUUCACCUCAAGAGUAAUGUGGCAACGCAGGAACUGAAAUCACUAGACCGUUUCUGACACCAGUA